CUCCCAGUAGCUCAGUUGGUUUAGAGCGUUCGGCUGUAAUGGUUAAAUUGUCACCGAAAGGUCACUUGUUCGACUCAGGUCUGGGAGA